CGAGCGCAACCCCUCGUGGUUAGUUGCCAGCAAGUAGCGUUGGGCACUCUAGCCAGACUGCCGGUGAUAAAUCGGAGGAAGGUGGGGACGACGUCAAAUCAUCAUGCCCUUUAUGUCCUGGGCUACACACGUACUACAAUGGCCGUUACAACGGGAAGCGAAGGAGCAAUCCGGAGCAAAUCCCUUAAAGGCGGUCCCAGUUCAGAUUGUGGGCUGAAACUCGCCCACAUGAAGGCGGAAUUGCUAGUAAUUGCAGAUCAGCAUGCUGCAGUGAAUACGUUCCCGGGCCUU
rnacentral:rRNA from 1 species